rnacentral:rRNA from 1 species
UACGUAGGGUGCAAGCGUUAAUCGGAAUUACUGGGCGUAAAGCGUGCGUAGGCGGGUCUUUAAGUCAGGGGUGAAAUCCUGGAGCUCAACUCCAGAACUGCCUUUGAUACUGAAAAUCUUGAGUAUGGGAGAGGUGAGUGGAACUGCGAGUGUAGAGGUGAAAUUCGUAGAUAUUCGCAAGAACACCAGUGGCGAAGGCGGCUCACUGGCCCGAUACUGACGCUGAGGCACGAAAGCGUGGGGAGCAAACAGG